rnacentral:tRNA from 1 species
AAAUGGAAAGCGAAAAAUUGCACUCGGCUUCGACCCGAUUUUUGGUUAUAUUAUUUAAUACCUUCAUUUU